AACGAACGCUGGCGGCGUGCUUAACACAUGCAAGUCGAACGCGAAAGGGGACUUCGGUCCUGAGUAAAGUGGCGCACGGGUGAGUAACGCGUAGAUAACCUGUCUUCAUGUCUGGAAUAAUACGCCGAAAGGGGUACUAAUACCGGAUAUUCUUGCUUUUCAUAAGUUAUGCAAGCAAAGGUGGCCGCUGCAUAUGCUACUGCAUGAAGAGGGGUCUGCGUACCAUUAGCUAGUAGGUGGGGUAAUGGCCUACCUAGGCGACGAUGGUUAGCGGGUCUGAGAGGAUGAUCCGCCACACUGGCACUGGAACACGGGCCAGACUCCUACGGGAGGCAGCAGUGAGGAAUAUUGCGCAAUGGGGGAAACCCUGACGCAGCGACGCCGCGUGAGUGAGGAAGGCCUUCGGGUCGUAAAGCUCUGUCAAGAGGAAAGAAGUGUACAAUGGCUAAUACCUGUUGUAUUUGACGGUACCUCUAAAGGAAGCACCGGCUAACUCCGUGCCAGCCGCCGC
rnacentral:rRNA from 1 species